rnacentral:rRNA from 1 species
AAUGACAUCUCCUUAAUCGGAGAGUUCCCUUCGGGGACAUUGGUGACAGGUGGUGCAUGGUUGUCGUCAGCUCGUGUCGUGAGAUGUUGGGUUAAGUCCCGCAACGAGCGCAACCCUUGUCUUUAGUUGCCAUCAUUAAGUUGGGCACUCUAGAGAGACUGCCAGGGAUAACCUGGAGGAAGGUGGGGAUGACGUCAAAUCAUCAUGCCCCUUAUGCUUAGGGCUACACACGUGCUACAAUGGGUAGUACAGAGGGUUGCCAAGCCGUAAGGUGGAGCUAAUCCCUUAAAGCUACUCUCAGUUCGGAUUGUAGGCUGAAACUCGCCUACAUGAAGCUGGAGUUACUAGUAAUCGCAGAUCAGAAUGCUGCGGUGAAUGCGUUCCCGGGUCUUGUACACACCGCCCGUCACACCACGGGAGUUGGAGACGCCCGAAGC